AAGUUAAUGUGAUGUGAGUUGUUUUAUUUUACUUCAGAAGUGGGAUGGACCGGAUAAAAAGAAUUUAUUGGCAAUGUCAUCAGAUCAUGAAGCAGACAUGCCGCCUGAUACGCCUCCAAAGCGACGGCGGCCGAAGAAGGCGAACAAACGAAGAAGGCGAAGGAACUCGUCUUCUACGUCUUCAUCCGCUGAUGAGUCGACACCGCGAAAGACGCGUAAGGUUUCAAGCAGGCUAACCUCUAGAGACGUGCUGAAACUUCUAUCGAAAUGGAAGGGAGAGUCAACUAAGAAUUAUUUUGGUAGUAACAAUAAUUAUAACAAUGUUAUUCCUGAAUUCGACCCGUCUAACAGGACCCAAACUAUUGAUUGUUGGCUGCGAAAAGUUAACGAAUGUGCCUCUAUAUACGGUUGAGAGGAUAAACAGACAAUUCACUACUCUUUACAAAAGCUAAUUGGUCUGGCAAAGAAAUGGUUUGAGUCUUUGCAGAGAGUCAAAUAUACUUGGGACGAGUGGCAACUGAAAUUACGCAAGGCAUUUCCCAGUGAGGAAAAUUACGAACGUCUCUUAGAAGAAAUGUUGACUUGCACAUCACGUAAUGAUGAGAGCCUGCGUGAAUAUUUUUAUGACAAAUUGGGUUUGUUAAGUAUGUUUGAAAUUACUGGUAAAAAGGUUGUUGAUUGCAUUGUGUACGGCAUUAGCGACCGAUCCGUUAGGAAUGGGGCA